GCCCUGUUCAAUGUAUCUCAAAUAAGCAUUGCUUUUCCACAUACCAAUAUCUUGUAUGCAUUCCCCUGACAAACCUGCCUGGAAGGCAAAGGUGGCUCCCCCCCUUCGAAAUGAAUGUCCUGUUAACUUAUCACCACAACCUACAUUGGCAAGAAUGUCAUUUACAAAUGAUAUAAAGUUCACAUAGGAUAAUGAUUUAAUUACACUUUCACACAAUAAAGGUGUCUGACCAUUAGACCCUAAUAUUUGAUGGAGGCUGAGUAGGCGGUAUAAUGCAGAGGCUGGACAGAGAGGAUGACCUGUAAUCUGUGGUAUCACAACAUUUAGCUGUUUCUCACGGAACUGAAUAGUUUUUGUUUUAUGAAAAGUUAUAAUAAAUCCAUCAUCAAUACUCCCAAUCUGCUCAAUCCGUAGGAUAGGAUUAUGCUUAUCCUUGAAUAGAAAAUUGCCGGGUCUGAGUAAACCAAAGAAACCAAUUAAGGCAUGCCACGUAUACGGACAGGUCAUAAAGCCUACACAAGUUCAGUUCCUUCUUUAUCAUAAGUAGCAUAUUUGGAGUAACAGCUGUGGCUCCAACCUGUGCAUCACCUAUAUCUCGUUUAACACCAAGCAAUAAAUGCUUAAUAUGCCAGUUAUCGGUUAUGGGAUCCUUGAGACCAUUAGCUUUAUGCAGGUGCUUAACUACUGCUAAAUAAUUUUGGAUUGUACAAAAACGAAAUUUCUUGUAAUGAGCCAAAUAUGCUAUAUAUAGAGAAAAAUCAUCAGUCGAGACUGGCACUGGUUGAAUAGACAUAGUCUCACAAAAAGAAAGGUAGCAUUUUAACUGGAAUCUGUACAGUCGCUUUGUGCUCUCUGCCCAACCCCUGGAUCUGUACUCAGCCGCAACCCUUACGAGGGUGUCUUCCACACAUCCACCUGUACAUAAAAAAAUUAAAAGACAUAUGAUUUAGCAAUUCAUGCACUGAUAAAAUACCUUUAGGAUUAAAUGGUAACAAAUCAUACACUAGACUAAGUUUGUCUUUUUCAUGUAAUCUAGAACAUGCAUCUGCUAAUGUAUUAAAUUUACCAGGUAUAUGAAUGGCAAAAAUGGAAAAAUUAUACACAGCUUGCAUAUAAAACAAGAAUCUUAUGUAAACCAUCACAACUGGAUUCCUACUAGUCAUUUUAUUUAUAACACUUUUUGCUGUGACAUUGUCAGUAUAAAUAAUAACUCUCUUGUUUUCCAAAAAUGAUGCCCAUUUAAAAAUUGCAAUAACAAUAAUGAUUGUUUCUUUUAAAUUAAUGUGCAGAGGGGCCACAUCCGGCAUAUCAAGUGUCCAGUUUAUGUAGAAAAAAUCACCUAAAAAAGUGGCUCCCCCACCUUCAGAGCAAGCGUCGCACUGAAGGGAUGAAAUUGGCUUAUUGUCUAAAAUACAAGUCCUUCCAUUAAAAGUUUUCAUGAACUUAAGCCACCACUCUAGGUCUGCAGAAAAAUCAGAGUUCAGUAAAGCUUUGUCCGAAUGGUUCUUGAGUGUAUUCUUCAGAUCAAUCAUCCUACGCAUGAAAGAGCGACCCCCCUGUAUGACUUGAGACGCCCAGUUUAAACUACCAAUAAGCGACUCAAGUUGUC
rnacentral:lncRNA from 1 species